rnacentral:rRNA from 1 species
UACGGGGGGAGCAAACGUUGUUCGGAAUCACUGGGCGUAAAGGGCGUGUAGGCGGCUGGAUAAGUGGGAUGUUAAAUCCCCCGGCUCAACCGGGGACCUGCAUCUCAUACUGUUCAGCUCGAGCACAUCAGAGGAGACUGGAAUUCCCGGUGUAGCGGUGAAGUGCGUAGAUAUCGGGAGGAACACCAGUGGCGAAGGCGAGUCUCUGGGAUGAUGCUGACGCUGAGGCGCGAAAGCCAGGGGAGCAAACGGG